UACGUGAGGGGCGAACGUUGUUCGGUGUCACUGGGCUUAAAGGGUGCGUAGGUGGUUGCGUAAGUAAGGUGUGAAAUCCCUCGGCUUACCCGGGGAAUUGCAUUUUAUACUGCGUGGCUUGAGGACUAAAGGGGAAAAGGGAACUCCAGGUGUAGCGGUGAAAUGCGCAGAUAUCUGGGGGAAGGCCGGCGGCGAAGGCGCUUUUCUGGUUAGUACCUGACACUGAGGCACGAAAAGCGUGGGGAGCAAACAGG
rnacentral:rRNA from 1 species